rnacentral:rRNA from 1 species
UUUGAUUUCCUUCGGGACUGAUUAUUUUGUGACUGAGUGGCGGACGGGUGAGUAACGCGUGGGUAACCUGCCUUGUACAGGGGGAUAGCAGCUGGAAACGGCUGGUAAUACCGCAUAAGCGCACAGUACCACAUGGUACAGUGUGAAAAACUCCGGUGGUACAAGAUGGACCCGCGUCUGAUUAGCUGGUUGGUGGGGUAACGGCCUACCAAGUCUACGAUCAGUAGCCGGACUGAGAGGUUGAACGGCCACAUUGGGACUGAGAUACGGCCCAGACUCC